rnacentral:lncRNA from 1 species
UGGUGGUAGAAUCUGUUGAAGGAGAAGGAGGUGAUGAGACAUCCUCUUCUUCAGGUGAUUCUGCUGAGCUGGAGGAAUCUGAAGUAGGAGAUGAUGAUGGUGAGUUUCCCUUAGGUGGUGAUGAUGACUUGGGUGAUUGUGUGGGUGCACUUCCAUUGCUCUUACUUUUAGGUGCAGCUGCGGGGGAUGACGAUGGCGAUGAUGAUGAUGAUGAUGAUGAUGAUGGUGAUGAUGAUGGAGAUGAUGAUGGGGAUGAAGACGGUGAGCUGCUUGGUGAUGAGGCACAGGAAACCAACCCAACAAAGGCAACAAAGAGGAGAGCAACAACAAUCACUUGACGUGCCAUUUUUAUUUAGUG